CAGCUCUCCGAGUGGUAGGGAUGAUUAUUGGGCUUAAAGCGUCCGUAGCUGGCUUAGCAAGUCUCCUGUUAAAUUCGGCGACCUAAUCGUCGAGCCGCGGGAGAUACUACUAGGCUAGGAGGCGGGAGAGGCCGACGGUAUUCUCGGGGUAGGGGUGAAAUCCUAUAAUCCCGGGAGGACCACCAGUGGCGAAGGCUGUCGGCUAGAACGCGCUCGACGGUGAGGGACGAAAGCUGGGGGAGCGAACCGGAUUAGAUACCCGAGUAGUCC
rnacentral:rRNA from 1 species